rnacentral:rRNA from 1 species
UGGGGAAUAUUGCACAAUGGGCGCAAGCCUGAUGCAGCCAUGCCGCGCGUGUGAAGAAGGCCUUCGGGUUGUAAAGCACUUUCAGCGGGGAGGAAGGCGAUAAGGUUAAUAACCUUGUCGAUUGACGUUACCCGCAGAAGAAGCACCGGCUAACUCCGUGCCAGCAGCCGCGGUAAUACGGAGGGUGCAAGCGUUAAUCGGAAUUACUGGGCGUAAAGCGCACGCAGGCGGUCUGUCAAGUCGGAUGUGAAAUCCCCGGGCUCAACCUGGGAACUGCAUUCGAAACUGGCAGGCUAGAGUCUUGUAGAGGGGGGUAGAAUUCCAGGUGUAGCGGUGAACUGCGUAGAGAUCUGGAGGAAUACCGGUGGCGAAGGCGGCCCCCUGGACGAAGACUGACGCUCAGGUGCGAAAGCGUGAGGAGCAAACAGG